GACGAACGCUGGCGGCGUGCUUAACACAUGCAAGUCGAACGGAAAGGCCCUGCUUUUGUGGGGUGCUCGAGUGGCGAACGGGUGAGUAACACGUGAGUAACCUGCCCUUGACUUUGGGAUAACUUCAGGAAACUGGGGCUAAUACCGGAUAGGAGCUCCUGCUGCAUGGUGGGGGUUGGAAAGUUUCGGCGGUUGGGGAUGGACUCGCGGCUUAUCAGCUUGUUGGUGGGGUAGUGGCUUACCAAGGCUUUGACGGGUAGCCGGCCUGAGAGGGUGACCGGCCACAUUGGGACUGAGAUGCGGCCCAGACUCCAACGGGAGGCAGCAGGGGGGAAUAUUGCACAAUGGGCGGAAGCCUGAGGCAGCAACGCCGCGUGCGGGAUGACGGCCUUCGGGUUGUAAACCGCUUUCGCCUGUGACGAAGCGUGAGUGACGGUAAUGGGUAAAGAAGCACCGGCUAACUACGUG
rnacentral:rRNA from 1 species